UACGUAGGGGGCUAGCGUUGUCCGGAAUCAUUGGGCGUAAAGAGCGUGUAGGCGGUCCGGUAAGUCCGUUGUGAAAGUCGGGGGCUCAACCCUCGAAUGCCGGUGGAUACUGUCGGGCUAGAGUGCGGAAGAGGCGAGUGGAAUUCCUGGUGUAGCGGUGAAAUGCGCAGAUAUCAGGAGGAACACCUAUUGCGAAGGCAGCUCGCUGGGACGUUACUGACGCUGAGACGCGAAAGCGUGGGGAGCAAACAGG
rnacentral:rRNA from 1 species